UGAUUUCGUGAUUGAAUAUAGUG
rnacentral:siRNA from 1 species